GAUUAUUUCAUUACGUUGGACGAGAUAUGGCAUGAUGUAGUUGGUGGGCCUGGAGGCAUCCUACAUCCAGCAGCGCAAAUGGAAGCACUCACAGCUGCUCAGGGCCUGCUGGCAGCUAGUGCAUGCCACUUCUCCUAUGGGAGAAGGUAGCGAUGAGGGGCACAAUGAUAAAGAACAAAACACCCUAGUGCACCGGGCGGCUAAAAAAGGAAAAGGCAUCAUGGAUGAAAUACCAGAUUCGUCUGGCAGUGAUAGCGAAGAUGAACCAGUAGAUCCAAGUGUACGCCUUGCACAGGUUCUGGACAGGGCUGAGAGAAGAGGGCGGCCAAUUGAAGCACCCGCAGCCCCUGCGAGGAUUAGGAUUUCGACUGAUGUUGUCGUUCCACAUGUGACAGG